UUAAUGUUUGUUUUUAUAGAUGAGCCCUUAAUUGUGGUUAUGUCCGAACAACACAAUGCACAGUAAUGAGCUGUGUCUGUAAAAUAGCCCAAACCUACCUUCAGUUUCAGGCGGCGUUGUGUGUUGCGCUAGAUGGAGCUUGACUGCCCUCGUGUGGCCAAACUCGGGAACGGCGAUUUUCUAGAAGCGGAUUUCUGGGCAAGAACUGUUACAUGAUAUUAUUAUUAUUAAUCUCUCUCUUCCCUUUUGUCCCGUCCACGAUAAUUAUUGUUGUUAUUUAACAAUUGUAGACAUGAGCUCAUGUUAAAAUGAAUAAAUAGGGAAUAAAAUGGUAAUAACCAUAUAUAUUCUCGAGCGAAAUAGACGAGGCCACCUAGGGAACACAUGAAGUUACGUAGGAGCAGCGAUGAGAAUGAAAUGACUAAUAAUAUUAAGAAAGACAUUAAUAAUGUUAAUAUUAGCAAUUAAUUUGUGUAAUUUAUUAUGAUAACUAUACUGCUAUGUACAUGAUAUAAUGUUAAUGUGUUAAUAUGUUUUAAAUGUGUGUUGUGUUCUGUCCUUAUACCGUGUCUAGGUCAGUCUCCCCGGCGCGCGCGCACAGACAUAUGUAGUCAAAUCGGAGCAGCGAGCCAUAAGAUCUGUUAUGACGUUAAGUUCAGAGUUCUAUAAGUUUCCUGAUGGUAUGCUUGACGGUUGUUCCCUUUAUGACGCCGCGAAUGUCGAGGUUUUUAAACGUUGUGGUAUCUGAGCUGGCCUCUGUAUUCAUUUGAACGGAGUAGUGUUUAAUCAUUGGUCUAUCUAACCUUUUCAUGUGCUUAGUUUCUUUGUUUGUUCAUCUGUCGUGUUUAAGAAUGGACAUUGAAAUAAUAUAUCCAGAUAUCUGUACAGCUGCUUUGUGACAAUGUAAACUUUAAAAAAAAACCCCAACAUUUCCAUGUCUAGAGAAGAGGGUGCGUUCUUUAAAAAAUAAAUCAUAAUGAUGAUGCUGUGAAACAGUUCAGAAGCUCCGUGUAUUGUCCUUGAUACGUGAAAACUAGACAAUGCACAGUAAUAACGCUGAUGAGCUGCGUCAGUGUAAAAUAGCCCAAACCUACCUUCUGUUUCAGGCGGUGUUGUGCUGGAUGGAGCUUGACUGCCCUCGUGUGUCCAAACUCAGGAACGGCAGUUUCCCUGAAGGGGUAUUCUGUUCCAAGUUUGUGGUAGUUAGCCAAGAAAUAUUACAUGAUUACCAUUACUCUCUCUCCCCCUUUUUAAAACCUGUUCACGAUAAUUAUUGUAUACAUCACCUUUAUUUUUGUAAUGUUCUCCCCUAUUUGUGGAUAUUCUCGAGUGAAAUAGACGAGGCCAUGUAGGGAACACAUGAAGUUACCUAGGAGCAGAGUCUAAAAUAUCUUUUUGAGGGACCUCAAACUAUUAUCAUUUGCUAUACUAUUGAUCAUUACGUUACGUACAUCUUAUUCGUAUAUGGAAAGUACUUAAUGAAGAUAAUAUACUUUAGAUUUUUUUAUGUAACCAUUUAAGUAUUUGUUGAAAUGCUUUUGUUACUGAUAAAUACAUGUACAUUUAAAUUGAUUUUGUUCUGUCUGUGAUUUUGUAGAUCUGGAUGUUCAGCUGGUCUCAGAUCAAGCAUCCUCCUCUGUAUUGACUCCACUAUCCCCAGCUUCAUCCCAUUCAUCAGAUUCCACAAUUGUCCUGGAGUCCAGAAGAAAGAGGAGGAACCCAACAGGGUUAAUGGAGCAGAAUGAAGCAAGACAGAAAGUUGAUUGUGUUCUGAGUGCCAAUCCAAAGAGUGAGGAAAUCUUCAAGGAGUAUGAAAAGACCAAAACACUAAGGACUAACAUGUCUGCAACCAGGGCGUUCACCAUCUGUUUACGUGUGGCAUAUGUUAGAGCUACAUGGGAGGAUUCCAUGGUCAAGUGUGAGGACCAAUUAUGCACUGGGAAUUGUGACACUUUUUCCAUACCUCCAAGAUCCUUUCUCCAAACAUGGAUAUGAACACUACUAUGAUCCUGAGGGUAAUACUGGCUUCAUUGCAUGGAGGAUCAAGACAGUUGACCUGUGCUGGCUCCCGGUGUCAUUCCAAGACUGUUCUUCAGGAUGGUCCAAAAAACAGACAAGAAUCUCUGUUAACUUGUCAACAGCUGAUUUGGUGAGGAGUGCAGGGAGGCGAUAUCUACAAUACGAUAUUCCACUGAUGAGAAGAUGAGCGACUUUCCAGUAUUGACAGAAGAUGGUGGGUGAGGAUGCAUCAUCUUCUGUCCUGGAUUUGUUCACUUGUUUCCUUGCUGUAUCUGGAUUGGUAAGAAAAUAUUUAGCUUUGGAAGUAGUUUUGAAAAGGAAAUGACCUUCUCUGUAGUUAUUAAAGGAGUUCACUGGUACAGUAGAGAAAGGAGUUGUUCAGUGAUCACCAUAACAACAACAGGCCGGUCCAAACUGAGAAAUUCAACGUUCUAAUCUUUUAUAUCCCAAAUGUAUGCAUAAAUAACACAGCAGAUCUUAAUUUUUAGUAUUUGACCUUUUAUCCAUUUAUGUCCGUUAUGUUUAAACCUGUAUAAACCUUGUUUAAAGAUCGACCAGGAUUUCUCCAUGAUGUUUGGUGACGAAGUGUCUCAGAAGUUCCUGGCAAAGUGGUCAACAUUCUUCAAGCCAAAAAUCAUUGCAGACUGCAAGACUCUUAAGAAUAUGGGCGAGCUGCUGUCAGGAACUGAACCUGAAUCUGAGGACUAAAAUGGAUGGGACAGCGAUAUGUCCUCAAUCCUUUUGCAGCUGCAUCUGCUCCCUCUAACCUCAAGAGGCCAGAAAAAAAAUAUCCAAGAUCAGUUCAGCUCAAGCAACCAGCCAUCUUGUGAGCUACCUUAAGGAAGGAGCCAGUGUGACUACCUUCAUUGAGAGUGCUGACGUAAAAAACAACCAUUUCUCCUCUGCAUCGGUGAGCGAAAGAAGGAUAUCCAAAAGUUCUACAUUAUUAUCGACCAAAAGGCGAUCCCAUGUAAGGCGCACACGUCAGUGGCAGCUUUUGAUGAACUGUUCAAAGCUCACUAUGUCUUCAGUUUCUGAUAUGAUGAAGCUCUUUGUGAUUUCUACACAUUUAUCCAAACCACUAUAUAUAACAUCGAUGUCGGAAGAGCAAUGGAGAGCCUGCGUGUUAAAGAACUUCGAGCAUGAUUGCUGCAGCGAGAUUAACUGCCUUGAAGAUGUUCACAUGUUUUGUAUGUAAAGCACACCUCAGAACUUGUUUGGUUCUUUGUCAACAUUUAAAAUUUCAACAUGGUUUAUAUCCUAGCAAAAAGUUACAUUUAAAAUGUGGAGAGCCAGGUCGCCUGUUAUCAUUUUGUACUUAUAGUGGCUUCCGAAAACACCUCAGCAAGGUACAUAGUCACACUAUGGAUCAGGAGAUUGAUACUAAUCAGGAUCUUUCCACUCAGGGAGAAUAUGAGGCGGAAUGUUCAAAUGAUCGCCCAAGUUUACAAAGUUGGAGUUUACAAAGACAUUAAUGAUGGGUCGUGUUUCCAAAACCAUGCACUGUUCUCACAGGAAAAGCACGCUUUUCAGAUUCUACUCUAUCACAACGAUUUUGAAACUGCUAACCCUUUAGGUUCCAAGAGGGGGAUCCACAAACUUGGUUGAAUCUAUUUUACUCUAAAAAAUCUUCCACCCAAGUGUAACUCUGUACUGAUUAAUGUACAUCUUGCAGCUUGAUUCUACACGGAGGAUCUUAAGACAUAUGGUUUUGAUGUGAUAAUAAAGCCCCUUAUUGAUGACCUGAAAAUCUUAGAAACCGAAGGCAUACAGCUUCCUUGUUUUGAACAACCAUUGUUUGGCUCAGUAAUUCAAGUAACAGGAGAUAAUUUGGCUUUAAAUGGCUUGCUGGGAAUCUUACAGUGCAACUAAUUUCUGUAGGCUUUGUUUAAUUAGUAAUGAAGAAGUUCAAUCUAUAUUUACUGAAGAUCAUGCUGGGUUAAUUUUUCGUUCCAAAGAGGUUCAUACUGGACAUUGUAAGGCACUAAAUGAAAAUCCUGAACUGCGGUCAAUAUAUGGUGUCAAAAAGUCAUGUGCGCUCAAUUCAUUAGAGUAUUUCCAUUAUACUGAUAACUAUGCUGUUGACAUCAUGCAUGAUCUGCUAGAGGGUGUGGUACAGUAUGAACUUAAACUGGUUUUUGAGUACCUUGUUAAACAGGAUGCAGAGCUUUAAUUAUGGUUACACAAACCGUAAAAACAAACCAAGUGGGUUAAAAAUUGAUGAUAUGGGCAAACACCUGGGUUUGAAUGCCAUACAGUCAUGGUGUCUUCUGCACAACACUCCACUGAUAUUUGGUGGUCAUUGAAAGGAAUAACAAUCACUGGAACUUUCUCCUACUUUUGAUGCAGAUUGUCAAUAUAGUGUUUUCCUACACCAUAACUGAUGGGAUGAUAUGUUACUUAAAACAUCUGAUCUGUGAUCACCAUACUCUAUUCAAAGAAUUGAUUCCUGACAAGACGUCGAUUCCCAAGCACCACUUGAUGAUGCACUAUCUGAGAUGCAUUAAAAAAAAUGGCCCUCUUAUCCAUAUGCGGUGAAUGCGAUUUGAAGCUAAGCACCAUAUUUUCAAAAGAUGUGGCAAAAAUUUCAAGAAUCUCAUUAAAUCAUUAGUAAAGCAACAUCAAUGUCAAUUGGCAUUUAACUGUGAAAAUGAUUGUUUUAGAAGGUUUGAAUUUGGUCCUACAUCAAAAACCAUCUGUAACUUGCAAGGUGGGGAAGAAUUCAGUCAGACAUUAUAUUUAGAAGCCUGUUUGAGUGUUACAAGUACAAAGUGGGUCAGACAUUAUGGUACUGAGUAUCAGGUUGGUGUGUUCAUAUGCACUGGAUGUGCCUAUGAUCUCCCUGUGUUCAAAAAGAUCUGUGAUAUAAUAAUAUAUGAAGAGAGUGCUUUCAUUAUUUCCUGCAAUGUAAAAACGAUGUACUAUGAUGACCACUUCAAUGCAUACUGUAAAGAAGAUAACCAAAUGGAUGAGUUUUCUGUCAUCUCUGUGAAUGAACUGACACACUUUAGGCCAUUUGAUCAGCAGUGCUCUAAUGAGAAUAAUCAAAGAGAGUACAUAGUGCCCAAUUGUUAUAUUUAGAAAGCCUUGACCUGAGGGGUCAGUAAUGUUAACGCCCUUGAAAAAAAGAAAACUAUUAUAAAGCAACCAACUGUUUUUUUUUUCUUUAUUUGCCUUUUAGAUUUGUAAUCAUUUAAAUGUUAUUUUAAUUGUGCAGUAGCAUAUUAACACUUUAUAGUGUUAGAGGCAACUCAUUUAAUAGUAUGCAAUUAACACUAUGAGAUUUAAUGAAUUACUCCUAUGAGAAUUAAUUUCUAACACUACACACUGGUGUUGAGAAACUAACACUUGAGUAGUGUUCAAUUUCAACUAUACAAAGAGUUGAUGUGAACUCUAUUAAAGUGUUAAAAUGACACUGUGGAGUGUGGACCCCUCCGGACACUUUAAAAGUGUUGAAAUGAAACUCCAAUAGAGUGGAUUUGUUUCUGUUGAUUUUGCUGUGUAUGUAUAUUUUAUAAUGUUAAAGUGCACACCUUGAUUUCUAUUAUUAGAACAUUAUUAAUGUAUUUCUAAUGUUAUUAGACAUGUCAUUCUCAUCACUGCUCCUAGAUAACUUAGUGUUCCCUAGGUGGCCUCAUCUAUUUCACUUCGAGAAUAUCCACAAAUAGGGAAGAACAUUACCUUCAUCUUUGUAAUGUAUACAAUAAUGAUCAUGAAUGCGUUAAAAAGAGGACACAGUAAUAUAAACCAUAUAAUAUUUCUUAACCAACUCGGGCCUAACUACAAAUGUACUCUUAUGACAGAAUACCGCUGCUGGGAAAUUGCCGUUCCCGAGGUUGGGCACACGAGGGCAGUCAAGCUCCAUCCAGCACAACACACAACGCCACCUGAAGCAGAAGGAAGCUGCCUUAAUCACGAUGUACCCAGGCUACGCAGGCAGGACCGAGCUCCGGGACAACCUGGAGGCCGCUUCAGAUCCGUCUCCAUGAUUGUGCCCGACCACGCCGUCAUCGCAGAGGUGUGCUCGGGUGCCGUCAUUCAUUACAUUAUGUAAUGAACGCAAUAACGGAUGUAUUCUGGCGUGUUACAGAACUGUUUCACGUUGUCUUUUUUGCUGUAGGUGGACUUGUGAGCUGAGGGCUUCAAGUCCAGUGAGACUCUGGCGAAGAAGAUGAUUCAGCUGUAUAAGCUGUGCAGCAAGCAGCUUUCCCGGCAGGACCACUACGACUUCAGCAUGAGAGUCGUCAACUUUGUUAUCGUCAUGGCCGGGUAUGUCCGUCUACGAACAGGGUGAACAUAUUAGAUUAGAUUAGAUUCAUCCGUUGUUUUUUCUAAAUUGUUAAUUAAAACUAUCUAUAAAUGUAACAGAUGUCUUGCUGGAAUAAAUCGAGCGUGUGUGUGUGUGUUCCAGGUCUCUGAUGCGAGAGAACCCACACCUGAGUGAGAACGUGGUGUUGAUUAGAGCGCUACGAUACUCCAACCUGCCCAAGUUACUCAAGGAUGACGCAGAACUUAAAAUAAAAUAAAUUGAUAAAUAGUAAAGAACGCCAAAGCUUACAUAUGGAGUAUCAAAGGUCAUUAUCACAGGAUCACUGGAAUCAGGCACUAGGAGGAAAUUCCAGGACAAAUUAGGAAAUACAAUUAACUGACAUUUGCAAAUUCUUUGCAACUAAAAAGCUGUAAUUAUAUAACUUUUUUUAAAGCAUUUAAAGUAUAUAACAUUAGCACCUUGUAAUGUUAUACCAGAUGAAAAGUAAAGAAUCCUGGAACAUCUGAACAUCCAUAAUCUGAAAAUCUUGAGCCUAGUGUCAAUCGAGUCAAUCCAAUCUUUCUUGUGUGCGUUUAGCGAUAUUCUGUCGGACCUCUUUCCUGGUGUGGGCGUCCCCGUGCAUGACUACGGCGCACUUUAGUCGAACAUCGAGGCAGCUCUAUGCGCCCGCUCCCUGCAG